rnacentral:rRNA from 1 species
AUUGAACGCUGGCGGCAUGCUUUACACAUGCAAGUCGAACGGUAACAGGCCGCAAGGUGCUGACGAGUGGCGAACGGGUGAGUAAUGCAUCGGAACGUGCCCAGUCGUGGGGGAUAACGCAGCGAAAGCUGCGCUAAUACCGCAUACGAUCUAUGGAUGAAAGCGGGGGACCGAAAGGCCUCGCGCGAUUGGAGCGGCCGAUGUCAGAUGAGGUAGUUGGUGGGGUAAAAGCUCACCAAGCCAACGAUCUGUAGCGGGUCUGAGAGGACAGCCAGCCACACUGGGACGGGGACACGGCCCAGACUCCUACGGGAGGCAGCAGUGGGGAAUUUUGGACAAUGGGCGCAAGCCUGAUCCAGCAAUGCCGCGUGCAGGAAGAAGGCCUUCGGGUUGUAAACUGCUUUUGUACGGAACGAAACGGUCCGGGUUAAUACCCUGGGCUAAUGACGGUACCGUAAGAAUAAGCACCGGCUAACUACGUGCCAGCCGCCGCCGUAACAC